CUCAGUUUUAAUGUUGUUUAACUUGGGUUCACAUAUUGUUCCAAGUUUUAUUGGGUUACAGGAUGCUAUUUAAACCCUUCCUAUUUAUCAAUCUUUUUUGCUUGACUGUUUUAUAUAACAGGGAAGCAAGCUCUGGCUGAGAGAUCAUUGCAUGAAUCCCACUGUUUGCUAGACUCGCUUUGUCCACCUCAGGAACAUAACAAGAACAGAAUAGUUAGAGCAACAAUAUGUGAAAUCUUCACUAAUGUAUUACAAUAUUUGCAGGGCCGGGUAUAAAUCAUACGAUAAGUGAUCUUAAUGAACUCCUUUCAGCUGUAAAUGGUAGAUUAUAAGAUCCAGUGAGAUGCCUAGCCACCUAGUUGUUAUGUGAGUACUAACUUCAGGCAGUUUCUCAACAAGAGUAGAAUUGUAUUUUUAACUUCAAGUCGCAUUUUAUUUCAAUUAUGGAAAAUGAAAGAUAGAAAUGAUGGAGAUGCACAACUAUCCUAUGUGGUCUUUGUAUUAGUCUUCAAUCAUUUUUGUUGAAAGCGAUAUUUGUGAUGAAGGCUUGACAAUAUUCAAGUGUCUUCCAUAUCUAUCCGUUCAGUGCUUAGGAUUACAGCUAUGGUCUUGGCAUGUGGAAGUGGGGUUGCGUACGCGCACUCAAGUCCAAUUGUCUUAUUGACCAUAGCAAAUCCUCUGUUAGCACAGAUUAUUCAGUUCAUCAACGAUAACAGUGCAUUGUUUGUGGUAUCAACACUAUUUGUCUAAUCUUAUUUAUUCUAGCAAGGAACAUAUCAUAGUAAGUAAGGUAAAAUUUACCUGGUAUCAUUUUCAACAUUUAAAUACUCAAAAUACUAACGAAAUUAAGCAUGAAAUGGUGACUGCUUCCAUGUUGAAAAUAAUUCCAUGUCUGUUUUUGUAUUUUUUCAGAUCACUUCUUCGGCUCUUGUGAGCGUUUAUUGUGUUUGUGAGUACAUCCACCAGGCAUUUUUAUUUAAAUUGCUGUUUUAGAGUUUAACUGUCAAUAAAUGUUAGAAUAAAAUUUAAUCAUGUGUGCCACUACCCUGUAUGGUGGUCUUGGUAACUCAUUUUUAAAUGAUUUCUGUAUCAACUGUUUAUCGGGGCAUAGGCUGUGAAAUGUCAUGUAUCUUUUCUAUCCUUUCCCUUUCAAGUGCUGAUGGAGAUGUAGCUUUGGACGUGGCAUGAGGCAUGUGGAUUUGGGGCUGCGGUCUCGCACUCAUUUCUUAUUGUCUAAUGUCAGAUUGUGCCUCUGCAAAUCCUCUGAGAGCACAGAUCAGUCAAUGUAUUUUUUGCAAGUCACAUAUGUUUAAUGACAUAAGUUGCUGUGAGUAUAAAUUUCUGAAGGUUUUCUUUAAAAUAGUGUAAACAGUUUUGAACUUCAGGUUAGAAGUGACACUUAAGUGUAAUAAAUGAUUGAGACGCACAACUACUCUAGGUGGUCUUUGUGUUCGUCUUCAAUCAUUUUUGUAGUUAGCGAUAUUUGUGGUAAAGACUUGACAAUAUUCAAGUGUCUUCCAUACCUAUUUGUGAAGUGCCUCUAGGAUUACAGCUAUGGUCUUGGCAUGUGGAAGUGGGGUUGCGUACGCGCACUCAAGUCCAUUUGUCUAAUCAGCCAUAGCAAAUCCUCUGAUAGCACAGAUUGUUCAGUUCAUCAACAAUAAUGGUGCAUUGUUUGUGGUGUCAACACUAUUUGUCUAAUCUUAUCUAUCCUAGCGAGAGACAUGUCAUAGUAAGUAAGGUAAAAUUUACGUGGCAUAAUUUUUAACUUUUCAAUUAUGAAAAUUGAAUUAUUGAAAUGAUUGAGAUGUACAACUUCUCUUGAUGGUCUUUGCACCUAUCUUCUAUCACUUUGGUAGCUUCAGAAAUUUCUGAUUAACUCUUGAUAUGAUGAAUGUAUGUGUCUUCACUAUCUAUCUAUAUGUUGUAAGUGCUAAUUGGAUUGUCGCUCUGGACUUGGCAUGCUGAUUUGGGGUUGUCGUCCGGGCAAUCAAAUCUAAUUGUCUAAUGUCAUCUUGUGACAUUGCAAAUCCUAUGAAAGCACAGAUCAUUCAGUGUAUUGUUUCAAUUAACCAACACUACUCGAAUCGUGUAUUGUUAGUAGUGUUCAACACUGUCAGUCUAAUCUAAUCUAUCUAGGUAAGGGACAGUGACAUUUCAGAGUUCAUAGGCUUCAUUCUAGCUGGUAUUGUUUUUAACUUCAUCAAAUGUUAGAAAUUAUGACAUUGUGAUAAUCAUAAGUUUAAUCUAAUCAAUGUUGUUUGAUAGUUUCAGACGAGUCAGCUCCUCUACUAUUGGGAAAUAUGUUGCGGUUUAGUUUCUGUCCAAGAAAAAUGGCUGGGAUUCUGCGCUUGAAUUCAACUAGACAUAAACCAAUUAUAUGGUACCUAAAAUAUCACUGUGAGUACAAAAUUUGGUGAGUUUCUCUAUGUAGUAUGCAUAUUUAACUGAAAGUGCCAUACAAUAUCAAAAGUUUGACCUGUUUUGUUGUUGGUGACUUGAACUUUGUUACGCCAAAGAUGGAGAGUAAUUUGAGCUAUUGAACAUUGGUUUCUGAUUAUGUUAAAAUCGUUUUAGUAGAGUUUGUGAUAUAUGUAUAUGAUUAAGAUGCACAAAUACCCUCUAUGAUUUUUUGUGUCAUUCUUGAUCCAAAUUUGUCCUAAGAAGGGUUGAUGUUAUCCAUCUAACUUUUCUGGGAAUAUGUUCUAAAUGCUGAAACGGUUUGAAGUAUUGCCUUAACAUGUUGAUUUGGGUAGCGUUCGCGCUUCUUUUUAUUUAUUUUUUAUUUAUUUUUUUGUUUUCAAAUCUAAUUGUUGAAUGUCAUUUGGUCCAUCACAUAUCCUCUUGCAGCAAAGAGCACUCUACAAAUACAGAGCUUUAUUAAUUGUGAUUGUUUGGGCAUCUAUAGAAUAUUUCAAAGUAAAGUAUUGUGUUGCAUGUUAUACCUUCUGAAACUACUCAAGUACAAUGUAAACAUCUGUUUUCAUGAAUGAUUGGGACUAGCAAUUAUCCUAAUUAUGGGAGUUGUUAAAGUCUUUCAGCAUUGAAAAGUUUUAAAUAGGAUUUGUAGUAUUGGGCAGUUGUUGGACUGGCAUCGUCUUCAUCAUUGUGUGAAAACUGCUAAAAUGGUUUUAGCUUUGACCUAGACAUGCUGAUGCAGGUAGCGUAUGCACUCCAAAUCUAAUUGUCGAAUGUCAUUUGGGUCAUCAUAUCCUUUUAAAGCUGAGAGUACUCCUUGUAAUGUAUUGUUUCAAUUCACAAACGAUCAGAUAUUGCCUCAUAGAAUUACUUUUCCUAUUCUGAGAUUUUGAUUUCUUAUGACAGAGUAGAGGAGUUGCGAGGAAUACAGACUCAUUAUUCAGGGAGAGCGGCCAUCUGUCAAAGAGAAAUAUCAUCGAAUUUUGCUUCAUAAUGCUGGGGUUGUGAAUUACUGUUAAAGAAAAGAAAACUAGAAAAUACAGCAUGUAUUCCUGUCACUUUCUUCACUCCCACAACAUAAUAUUCGUUUUCUCUUAAAUUUCAUUCAUGAAUGAAUUUUUUGUUUCUGAACUGUACUUGACUGAACAGUGGAUGCACUGGGGUGGGGUGCCAACACUUAUCCUAGAACAAAGAAAAGUACAACAAUAUGUAGCUUCGUUGAGCAAUGAUCCUUUUGCUUCUUUUUUAAAGCAUUGUAGCUUAAUUAUUUGCCAAUCCCAACAUUACAAUUGAGAUGCUGGUGCACCCUCAUUUUAUUUACUCUUGCUAUUACUUUCUCCCUCUCAAUCUCUCUUGUCCAUCAUUUUCUUCUUGUCAAUAGGUGCGAAAGGAUUUAAAAAUGAGAAAACUCCCAUGUGUUUAAUAAAUUGAAAAUUUCUUCCACCAUAUCAUGUCAAUGCAUUUUCCUUUCCAUGAUGGAAAAGGACAAUUGGCAAAGUAGAAGUUACGAAGUACACUGUGCGGUAGCAAUAUAAAGUGAAGUGAUCUUUAUCAAAAGCAAACUGUUCCGAGCUUGCCAUUAGAACCUUGAAAUUCUG